rnacentral:rRNA from 1 species
CCCUUAGAUGUUCUGGACCGCACGCGCGCUACACUGACGAAUGCAACGAGCUUAUAACCUUGGCCGAAAGGUCUGGGUAAUCUCCAAAUUUCGUCGUGAUGGGGAUAGAUUAUUGCAAUUAUUAAUCUUCAACGAGGAAUGCCUAGUAAGCGCAAGUCAUCAGCUUGCGUUGAUUACGUCCCUGCCCUUUGUACACACCGCCCGUCGCUCCUACCGAUUGAAUGGUCCGGUGAAGCGUUCGGACCGUGGCCUUUGGACGGUUCGCCGUCUGUUGGCUGCGGGAAGUUCGUUAAACCUUAUCAUUUAGAGGAAGGAGAAGUCGUANCA